GGGCGAUUAACUCAGCGGCAGAGUGUUUCGUUUACACCGAGAAAGACGAGGGUUCGAAUCCUUCUAUUGCCCA
rnacentral:tRNA from 1 species